GGGAGCGGGGCGGGGCCGCAUUCCAGCCUCGGGGUGCGUCGGCGGCAGGCGGAUACACGUGACGCGUGCCCCCUCUCCUGCGCCCUAGGCCGGCGCGCAUCGCGCCGCGCACCCUGCAACGUGUGGCCCUCUGCAAAUCAGCAGUUCCCUUAACUUCACUUCCCAGACGGACCACUUGUCUUCUGGCUCCAGCUCUGAGGGAAAGGAAGGGAUGCUUUAUGAUUCCGUAUGUCUGAUGAGAAGACAGGGUACUUCCAUCAUGCAGGAGUGGAGGAUUUGGGAUCAACCCCCCAACAGGAAGGACCCUGUUUGGAAGAGAAGGUCAACUCUGAGGAAUGGAGCCCUGCUGUAAUUCAGGCCAAGACUUGGUUUUACCAGGGAUCACAUUAUGGUGAGCAGGCACAAUGCUCAGCCUUGUCAGUGGAGGGAGCCGGCAAGCCGCCGUGGGAAGAAGGGUUUCUCUCCUUGGUUCUGGUGUGUCCUCUCACCAGGCUCCCGCAGCUUGCCAGGCUUCUCCAGGGCCUGCUCCUGGAGCUCAGGUGACUUCUCAGGCACCAGGUCCACCGCGCACCGCACCCCCCGCCCCCCCCCCCCCCCCCCCCCCCCGCCCUGUGUAGGCUCCCGCGGUGUGGGCGGCUUGUUCAGCGCCUGGGUCCUCCAGUGCUGGGCGGCCAGUAACACACACGGGCUGGUAGCUUCCCUCGGCCCCUUGGGUGGCUUUGCAGUAAUCUUUUUUUUUUUUUUAAAGAUUUUAAAAGAUUAUUUAUUUGAGAGAGAGUGAGCAUGAGUGGGGGGGAGGGGCAGAGGGAGUGAAUCUUCAAGCAGACUCCCUGCUGAGCUCGGAGCCCCACCUGGGGCAGGGGAUCCCAUGACCCAUGAGAUCAUGACCUGAGCCGAAACCGAGUUGGACAUUUAACCGACUGAGCCACCCAGGCGCUCCAUUUUGCUAUAACUUUUGAUGUCCAUGCAGUAGCACCCCAGAUGGCUGAUUUCCGGCAAGUUCUACAGGGACAGCACCUCACUGACUUCUUCCCCAUUUACUGAGCCACAGCUAUGUCUCCUCUCUAAGGAGAUCUGAAUCUUGGCCCUGGUAGGAGGGAGAGGGGCGGAGAGCUCUUCUUAAGGGCCUAUCUCAGCCCUAGGAGUAGUGGCUGUUGCUUAGGUCUUCUUUUCCUAUAUUCUUUAGAGUUCUCUUUAACUUCUUGUUAGCUAAUGCCUCAGCACUCCAUUAGAGUAAAUAAUAAUUCCUUAUAUUGAGGUUUCCCUAUGCAAAUUACUGUGUGGUUUCUGUCUCGAGAUUGGACUCUGGCUGAUCCAGUGGAGGAUAGCGAGACUGGUAAUGUGGUGAGGAUAAAGAACCUCAAGUGAGCAAAACUCACGUGAGAGCAGGCUUUUGUCUUGCAAUCCAGUGAUACCCUGAAACCAGUGAGCUGGGUGUCCAAGCUCUUUCAGAAGACAGUAUUGAUAAUAAAGCUAACACAUAUGAGCUCUAGGCACUUUGCAUCUCAUUGAAUCCCCACAACAGCGCAGUGAUACUGAACCAUUGCUGUUCAUCUCAUUAUGCCAAUGAAGAAGCUGAGGUUAGAGACUUGCACGAUAUCAACGUCUUCCAGCUACAGCUGCUGCAUAACAAAUCACCCCAAAACUUAGUGGCAUAAAUGACCAUUUUAUUAUGCUCAUGGAUUCUGUGGGUCAGGAUGUUUUAUUUAUUUUUUAAGAGAUUUUAUCUAUUUGGCAGAGGAGGGGCAGAGGGAGAGGGACUCUAAAGUAGACUCCACAUUGAGCACAGAGCUGGACGUGGGACCUCAGGUCUCACGACCCUGAGAUCAUGACCUGAGCUGAAAUUAAGAGUCGGAGGCUUAACUGACUGAACCACCCAGGUACCCCAGGUCAGGAUGUUUUAAAAUGUCAGGAUUUUGGUUUUAUUUAGGAACUGUGAGGCCAACAGAUCAGAUGAUGGCUGCCAUUGAAAAGAUAACUUGGGGGCGCCUGGGGGGCUCAGUCAGUUAAGCAUCUGCCUUCGGCUCAGGUCAUGAUCCUGGAGUCCUGGGAUCGAGUCCCACAUCGGGCUCCCUGCUCAGCAGGGAGUCUGCUUCUCCCUCUGACCCUCCGCCCUCUUGUGCUCUCUCUCUCUCACUCUCUCUCUCAAAUAAAUAAAAUAAAAUCUUUAAAAAAGAAAAGAAAAGAAAAGAUGUUACUCACAGUUCCCCAGAGGAAGGGACAUGCCAUACCACACAUGGCCACACUGGCAAGCACCAGGGUCAGUCAGGAGGCAGAAGGGGCAAAAGCAUGGACAUGAGCUUUUAUUAUAGUUUUUGUGGGAAGAAAUGGGUGAAACAAAGUAUGCAGCUAGGCAAGUUUAGGAUUGGCUAGUUUGAAUAAUUCCAGCAGGCUCUGGGGCAUAGGGACUGUCUCCAGUUGUCUGAUACCUUUCCCUGGGAUGAUUAGGGCAGGGGAAUAUUGCCUCCUGGAGUGUAAGAGCCCAAAUAAAGGAGGUGGUUUGGAGUUGGGCUCAGGAUUGGUUGGUUUGCAUGUCAAAGGCAUACUCUCAGUCACAUUCUUUGCUACCUUUAGGAAUUAGCUAAAUCUGGGAGGGGCAGUCCCUCCCUGGAUCUGCAAGGUCCCAAGAUGUCAAAACAACACAAAACAACAGAAAAUAGAAAGCAUGAAUGAUACACAGGAAUUGAGAGAGUGCACAGUGGGAGUGGCUUGUCUCUGCCCUUUGAUGUCAGAACUCCGGCUGGAAGUCUUGAACGCACAGGUUGCUUUGACAGCUGGGGGUUGGAAUCAUUUGAAAGCUCAUUUCCUAUGUCCGGUGCCUAGGCUGGGAGAACUUGAAGGCCAAGGCUGCUGACUGGAGUGCUUCGGUGGUUUCUCAACGUGACCCGGAACAGAGACUUCUUCCAUGGUGGCUCAGGGCUGCAAGUGUGAGUUCUAGUGACCAAGGCAAGAGUGGCUUUGUCUUUUGGACAGAACUUAGAAGUCAUACAGUGUGGUUCCUGCCAUCCUGUUUGUUAUAACUGAGUCACAAGCUUACCCAGAUUCAGGGGAAGGGGACAUAGAUGCAAGCAUUCCAGUGCUGAUAAGAAACAAAUCUGUUUAAGAUAGCUCAGGUGAAGAAGUACGGGGGGUGUUGUUACUGGAAAGCAACGGUGAGUUCACAGAAAUGAAGUGUAGCAGAACAACCGGAAGCAAGUCACAGGCAGCUGUCCUCUCUCACCAUCUUUUGUCCCUGUUUAGCUAGCUGCCUGUGAUGGUUAAUUUUAUGUGUCAGUUUGACUGGGCCACAGAGUGCCCAGAGAUUUGUUCAGAUAUUAUUCUGGGUGUGUCUGUGAGGGUGUUUUUGGAUUAGAUUAACCUCUGAAUUGGUAGACCAAGUAAAACAGAUUGCCCUCCCUAAUGUAGGUGGGCCUUGUCUAAUCAGUUAAAGGCCUAUAUAGUACAAAAAGGCUGACCCUCCCACGAGUAAGAAGGACCUCCUUUUGCUGACUAUUUGAGUGGAGACAUUGUUGUAUUGUGUGUGUGUUUUAGAGAGAGCAUGUGUGCAUGCAUGCAAGUGGGGAUGGGGGCAAGUGUGGGGGAGAGUCUUAAGCAGGCUCCAUGCUCAGCGCAGAGCCUGACGUGGGGCUCGAUCUCACAACCCUGAGAUCAUGACCUGAGCCGAAAUCAAGAGUCAGAAGCUUAACCGACUGAGCCACCCAGGUGCCCUGAGACAUUGAUCACCCCCACCUCCUUCUUCAGACUCUAACUGAAACACUGGCUCUUCCUGGGUCUUGAGCCUUCAGCCUUUAGACUAAACUAUGCCAUGGCUCUCCUAGGUCUCCACCUUGCCAACUGCACAUCUUGGGACUUAACAGCCUCCAUGAUUACAUUUUCUUAUAGUAAAUCUAUAUGUAUAUAUCUAUCCAUCCUGUUUCUUUAGACAACCCUAACACACUGCCCUUUUAUCUGCAGAUCAACUUCCUCUGCCAGCUCAGGCUUUCUACUCCUAAAUUUGCCUCAUGCACUGGCUUUGGUUACUCCACCACUAACUCCAUUUAGGAACGACCAUUUGGCCAAAUUCCAAAAGAAGGAAUCUGAUAGGCCCAGUUUGGGUCAGAAGAGGAGAUGGGAAAGUAGGGGCAGAGCUUUAUAGUAUAAAUAUACCAUCUAUAUCUAGAGCCACCACUCCAACAGGGGCUGUGGGUAUGGGGAGAGGGCUGCCAUAGGAGAGGCAGGCAGCCUCCCAAAGCCCUGAAUAUUCUUGCUGCUUCUCUUGAUCCUUGAAUGCCAUGAUGUUCGCUAUUUUUUUUUUAAGAUUUUAUUUAUUUGACAGAGAGAGACACAGUGAGAGAGGGAACACAAGCAGGGGGAGUGGGAGAGGGAGAAGCAGGCUUCCCACUGAGUGGGGAGCCCAAUGUGGGGCUCGAUCCCAGGACCCUGAGAUCAUGACCUGAUCCGAAGGCAGACGCUUAACAACUGAGCCACCCAGGUGCCCCGAUGUUUGCUAUUUUGGCAUCUUCCUGAUGGGUCAGGACAAGGUUCUUCUUGGUCUCUAGUGGUUUCUGUGAUCUUUGAUCUCUUUCAGUCAUGGCAGUCAUGUCCCACUCUGUCUUGGUUGGUGGGGGAGCCGGGGAAACCAGAGUUGGAGAAAAUCUUCAUAAUUUGCCACAUCUGUAGGAGGCCCCAGGAGUAAUGGGAGCUGGAGACCAAGUGGUAGAGGAGGGGAGACCACAUUUGCUUUUGCUCUGUGGUUUCAGUGAAUAAUGUCUUAUAAAGAGUCCGGUGAGACUAGACCUAAGGGGCAAGUUCAUGGUUAAAGUAGACUCAGGGAAUCUCAGACAGUUGUAGUGUUUCCAGUGGUCCAGAAAUCUAAAUUUAGUUCCUAGCUUAAUCUUUCUGAAUCUUAUUUUCCUCAACUGUCAAGUGGAGACAAUGAAUUACCUAUCUGCCAAGGUUGUUGCAAAGGCCAAGGAGGAGAUGCAGGUGAACACUCAGCACAAAACAUCAUCUGAUGGAGACUCUCGGCUCUAGGCCAAGCCUUGGACCUUACUCCUCUUGCUUUAAAGCUCCAGCCGUGGGUAGGCUAGAGAGUUCAGGGGACAAAUCCCCCUUUCCUGGAGACCCUUCACAUAGCAGGGUCAGAAAUAGAAACAGCAUACACAGUCAGCCUCCCCCAAGUGCAGAUCUUGGGGCCUGUGACAGCCACAGCCACUCUCAUGGCCCCAUGCCUGGCCCCCUACAUGCUGACCAUCUCUGCAGCAUGGGGAUCAUUUUCUUUGUCACUGCUCAGGGGCAAUCCUCUGAUGUCUUGUGACCUCCAAGAUCAAGGCUGAAGUCUGAGAUAUAUGCACUGCUUAAAGGCCUGGAUUUGGAGAUCAAAUAUUUGAAUUUCAUUCUCCAUUAGAUUGACAUUAGAUAAGUCACAUAAGCUCUCUGUGCCUCAGUUUCCUCCUUUUAGAGUGGAGGUGGUUUUAAUGGCCCCACCUCACAGAGCUGUUGCGGGAACUAAGUGAGACAAGAGUGGAAAGCACCUGGCAUGGUGCCUGGCACGUGGUGAAUGCUUUGCAAACGUUGGUUACUACUAUUGAGCCACUUCCACUUUUAUCUGAGGCUGACUGGCAGAGUGGUGGUGUUUGAUUCCGUCCAUCCUGGCUCAGAGUGUCCAUCUUUAUAGGUGAGGCCCCUCCUUUCCCAGGAAUACGGUCUGCUGGUGUCUGCACAUCCCCAUCAUAGUCCCAGUAGGAGGUCAUCUUCAGCACCUCAUGGGCAGCCAAUUAAUGGUGAAGUCUCAUGGGCAUCUACCUUGGUCACCCAUGGUUACUUAGCGUUAGGGACCCGGCCUUCCCAGCCAGUGUUCUGGGUGGCUUCACACCCAGAUAAGCCUCACAGGGUACCUGUGGCUUCAGGUCUGGUCCUGGCCAGCUUCUCCUGGGGAGUGAGGUCUGAGCUUUGUCAGAGUCAAACACCUUUACCACUUCAUGCCCAGCCUGUGGCCCCUUGCCUCUGUCUGCCCAAGGGGCCCAGAAUCCAGGCCACUUCAUAGCUCCAGUGAAGGCUAGGUACUCCUUGGAGGCUGGAGUAACAAACUGAAGAGCCAUCCAGGUUCCUACCCAACUCCAACCUAGAGGGAACCCCACCCACCAUUCCAGAGGUCCCUGUUCCCACAGCCUUGGGAACAGGCCUGGACAAGUGAGCCACUUGGCUGACAAACGAGAGUUCAUGUGCAGAGCCCUCUGCCCCGAGUGAACACUGGAUUGUGAGUCAGGAGACCUAAGUUCUAAACUCGGCACUCACAUCAUCAACCAGCUGUGUGACCUGGGGCAAGUCACUUACCUUCUCCAGGCUUUAGUUACCCCUUCAUAAAAGCAGAAGCCUGGAGCAAAUGAUCUUUAAGGCCUCUUCCAACUCAGGUAUAGGAGUAGCAUAAUGCCAGGUACGUACAUAGUAGGUGUUCAGGAAAUGUUUAUUUAGUAAUUUAACUCUAAGAUUCAAGGCAAGAUUCUGCAGGUCCCAACACCCAUCUACUUCCUCACUGUGAGUUUUGCUUCUGCUGUUAGCUAAUUUAUGUCAAGUGCUGGCUCAGGGCCUGGCACAUAAUAGGUAUUAAACCAAUGUGAGUUGAGUCCAUAUAUGCAGUAAUUUACAGUAGCCCAGAGACUGAAGACAGAACUGACUGAACAUCAGGGGUGGGUUGUGGGAUCUCAGGGUGGCCACGCAUUCCUCCUUGUUAUAAGCUGUCUUCCCUUCUGGGCAUGUGAAAGUCAUUGCUUUGGGGUUUAGAGUACCCAGCAAGCAUCACUACUUCACUACUUCUUGUUCCCUGAGCAACACAGGCCCUGCUUUUGCUCACACGGUUCCCUCUGCCUAUAGCACCUGUCAGGGCUGUGAUUUACCCUGCUUACAAGCUAAUAAGCUAGCCUGCUGUUGUUUCAUGAAUGUGGGCAGAAGACACGGUUUCCUGAGUCGGACUCAAAGGAUUUAUCAUUCUUGGCACAGCAAGCAGCAUGAGCAUUAUCCUUAUGUCUCUUUCCCUUGUUCCCUAGUUUCAUGGGGGGCAAAGCAGAGGGGCCCAGGUAGAUGGGUUACCCACGCAGGAGCUUUAUGUCGCAGCUACGGAGUCCUGAGCUUGGAGCACCCACCCCUGUCCCUUCCUGCCCCCACCACUUUUAUAGUAAGCAGCAAGCAAGCCUGCUCUUUGUCUGGGAGAUGUUCCCUUAUCCCACAACGUUGCUGCCUGCAGAACACAACGGUGAGCAGUGGUGGGAAGGCGAAUGGGCGACCAGGGCUCUGCAUUCUUAGCACACUCAGUGGUUAGAGCCAGAGCUGCUCAGGCCCCAUGGUGGACUGCCUUGCCCAACAACGCCUAGCCCGGAUCUCUGCUUGUCACAGUUCUAUCCACUCUCCAGAGACACUUCAAUCUGAAAGCUUUCCCAGCCCUCCCAUCACACAUACUUUCCCUUUUGGAUUUCCUUGCAUCCACCUCUUUCUUUUGUGCCCACAGCUGUCCCUCCACUACCAGAAAAAGCGUGAACACUGAGGGCGGGAGCUCGUGCUCCUUAUUCCUACAUUCCACACCCCGAUUGUUUGCAUCCCGCAGGUGCUUAGGUCUUAUUUGUUGAGUUGGAGGAAUCAAGAUCUUCUUGCAUGCUUAUGCUU